rnacentral:lncRNA from 1 species
UGGGGUGUGAGGUUUGGGGUGGGCAUUGCCUUCUUAGGCGUGUGUGAUUAGAGAAGAGCCAACUCCUCUUAGUGAGAGAGCUAGAAUUUGUUCUAGGGUUUUUGGGUGAAAAAAAACCAAAGAGAAAGAAUAGUUCUACUUCCUCUUGUCCACCACCACAUCCUCCUCAUUAUCUAUUUCUAAUUUUGAAAGAGUCUGAG